CCUACGGGCGGCAGCAGUGAGGAAUAUUGGUCAAUGGGCGCGAGCCUGAACCAGCCAAGUCGCGUGAGGGAAGACGGUGCUAUGGAUUGUAAACCUCUUUUGUCGGGGAGCAAAAGACGCCACGCGUGGCGUUCCGAGAGUACCCGAAGAAAAAGCAUCGGCUAACUCCGUGCCAGCAGCCGCGGUAAUGCGGAGGAUGCGAGCGUUAUCCGGAUUUAUUGGGUUUAAAGGGUGCGCAGGCGGAAGAUCAAGUCAGCGGUAAAAUUGUGAGGCUCAACCUCUUCGAGCGGUUGAAACUGGUUGUCUUGAGUGAGCGAGAGGUAUGCGGAAUGCGUGGUGUAGCGGUGAAAUGCAUAGAUAUCACGAAGAACUCUGAUUGCGAAGGCAGCAUACCGGCGCUCAACUGACGCUCAUGCACGAAAGUGUGGGUAUCGAACAGGAUUAGAUACCCGGGUAGUC
rnacentral:rRNA from 1 species